rnacentral:rRNA from 1 species
GACGGAGGGGGCUAGCGUUGUUCGGAAUGACUGGGCGUAAAGGGCGCGUAGGCGGCUUAUCAAGUCAGGUGUGAAAGCCUUGGGCUUAACCCAAGAAUUGCGCUUGAUACUGAUAAGCUAGAGGAUGAUAGAGGAAAGCGGAAUUCCUAGUGUAGAGGUGAAAUUCGUAGAUAUUAGGAAGAACACCAGAGGCGAAGGCGGCUUUCUGGAUCAUAUCUGACGCUGAGGCGCGAAAGCGUGGGGAGCAAACAGG